rnacentral:misc_RNA from 1 species
AAAAUGCGAUACUUGGUGUGAAUUGCAGAAUCCCGUGAACCAUCGAGUUUUUGAACGCAAGUUGCGCCCGAAGCCAUCCGGCUGAGGGCACGCCUGCCUGGGCGUCACGCAUCGCGUCGCUCCCCACCAUACCUCCCCAACGGGUUGGCAUGGUGUUGGGGGCGGAUAAUGGCCUCCCGUGCUUGUGUUUCGGUUGGCCUAAAUAAGAGUUCCCUUCGGCGGACACACGACUAGUGGUGGUUGAAUAGACCCUCGUCUUUUGUUGCGUGUCGUGAGCUGUAAGGGUAGCCCUCAUCAAAGACCCCAUUGUAUCGUCUUCGGAUGAUGCUUCGACCGCGACCUCGGAUCAGGUAGGGAUACCCGCUGAACUUAAGC